rnacentral:lncRNA from 1 species
UCCAGGAUGACCUUCACAAGGAGAAGGAUGAGCAGUACAUUUGAUGAUAAUGCCCCCAACUUAGACAUAAUGCACUGUACAGAGAGUGCUUUGGCCUAAGGACAGGAUAAGAAUGAACCAAAACCUGCAGUCAUUGUUGCCACACAGCUGGCUUCACUGAACAUGCACUGCUGUAACUGAGAGCAGAGCAGGUAUGAACUCUUCUAUCCCAGUGCAGUGAGGUCAUCUACAAGUCAACUGCUCUGCAAAUCCAUCAAGAGAGACAUGAUUCAAUGACAUCAUCCUCAUUUCAUUAGAGGAUUCUUAAUGUCUUAUGGAAUGGUAUGGUCUACUACGCCAAGAAGACCUCAGUUAACAUGGGAAGCUCCCAGGCAGAGAGAACCUUCUCAAGAGAUGGAGCAGAAGCUCUGCAGAACCCUCUGA